GCUAAGUGUUUUGGGACAAAAGGUCUUUACUGUUUACGGUGACAACGCGGCUCUUUAUUUACAUAAAGCACUCACCACGCAUCUGAGAUACCUCCUUUGAAAUGCAACACCAGACAUGCGUCCCGGUCCUGUAGCCAGAGGAAACCCGGCGGAGGAGCACUCACUGCGCUAAGCCAGGGAGCUUAUCCAUCCCCACAUCUCCGGGGGCGACUCAAAGGCGUUCAAUUAUGGGCUGCCAAACAGAAGACGCUGAGGAGUUAACCGGGUUUAACGGUCUGAAUGAUUUUCAUUUUUUUUUCUCUCACCGUGAUGACUGCAGCUUGCCGCAGGAUUCGCCGUCAGUCAUGCAUCACAAACACACUAAUUCCUACGGUGAAUGUGAGCAUCUCCUCAGCUCACGGGCAUCUCAGCACUCCUCAAGGACUCGAACGGCGCACAAAAGGAAUACCUCAGACCUUUCAUCCAAACGCUCUCUGCCGGUGCUGGUGAAUGCCUUUUAUUCCAGCCAGUCACAUCCUGUCCGUCUCUCUCUGUUCAGGUAAGACUUUAAUCCCGGGCUGUGAAGGACGAGACAGAAAAUGAAUAGCCAGUGGCGCUAAAUCCGCCUCAUGCACACACACACACACACACACACACACACACACACACACACCCUUCCUCCACAGGCUCCAGCGCCGUCUGAGAAGGGCCGCGGAAACCCGAGACCGAAACCAGAGGGUCCGCGCCGAGAAGAGGACGAAAGAAAGAAGAAAGAAGUUCGCAAGGAGCCCACCAAGGCUGUUAGGAACAGCGUGGCGAAAAGGGUUCAAGGAUUGACCCCUGACCCUGCUGGCGAGUGCGUCUGAUUUUGAUUGGUUAUCAUUAUCAUGCCUCCUCGCUCUGCCGUGUUUGUGUGUUUUGCUGUUUGUGUUGACAGGGGAAGAGUGCAGCGGCCGUGUGAAGUGUGUAUGUGUAUGAGUGUGUGUGUGUGUGUGUGUGUGUGUGCGCCUCACCAGGCUGCUUUUCAGACCCACUCACUGGCAGCUUUUGUGGCAGCGUAACUCCACUGCCGUCCUCAGGGGCCCAUUGUAACAGUCGGGGGUCCCAGCAGGGAGCAGCGGCCCAUUCAGGUGCACAAAGCUGGGCUCCGAAUGCAGGUGAGGAGCCGGGAGCCAGACGUCUGGACCAGGACAUUCGGCCUGAGGCCGUCUCAGUCUCUCUUUUUCCCCUCUGUCCCUCCCUCCCUGCUCACUCUUGACUCUGGAAUUUGAGUUGGGAAAAGAAGAGGAGGGAAGUAAAUAAUAUCAGGCUAUGCUGUAUCUGAGAGAGCCUGAAAACAGAUUACCUCUAAUCUUACUCGAAAUAACCAUCUUAAAGGAUAGUCUAGCAAAAAGCAAAAAAAAAAACACGUGCAGUCAUUCAUGCCACUACAUGUCUGGUGUAGUAAUACAAUUUUUUUCCCCCUUAAAAGUUUCAACUUAACACCCAGUCUCACGUUUCAUUUUUCAUGAGAAUAUUCAACAUAUUAGACACUUGAAUCUUUAAGAGUUAGACAAAAACGUUGAUUCAAUUACUUAUUUAUCUUAGCUUCACAUGAAUAAAUUGUGCGUUGAGAAUAUUUUAUGUUAUAUU
ensembl:lncRNA